UGUACGUACAAGCAGUGGGAGCACAGGUUUACCUGUGUGACUGCGUACCUUUUGUAUAAUGGGUCAGCGACUUAUAUUCUGUAGCAAGGUUAACCGAAUAGGGGAGCCGGAGGGAAACCGAGUCUUAAUUGGGCGUUAAGUUGCAGGGUAUAGACCCGAAACCCGGUGAUCUAGCCAUGGGCAGGUUGAAGGUUGGGUAACACUAACUGGAGGACCGAACCGACUAAUGUUGAAAAAUUAGCGGAUGACCUGUGGCUGGGGGUGAAAGGCCAAUCAAACCGGGAGAUAGCUGGUUCUCCCCGAAAGCUAUUUAGGUAGCGCCUCGUGAAUUCAUCUCCGGGGGUAGAGCACUGUUUCGGCUAGGGGGCCAUCCCGGCUUACCAACCCGAUGCAAACUGCGAAUACCGGAGAAUGUUAUCACGGGAGACACACGGCGGGUGCUAACGUCCGUCGUGAAGAGGGAAACAACCCAGACCGCCAGCUAAGGUCCCAAAGUCAUGGUUAAGUGGGAAACGAUGUGGGAAGGCCCAGACAGCCAGGAUGUUGGCUUAGAAGCAGCCAUCAUUUAAAGAAAGCGUAAUAGCUCACUGGUCGAGUCGGCCUGCGCGGAAGAUGUAACGGGGCUAAACCAU
rnacentral:rRNA from 1 species